ensembl:lncRNA
GGAAGGCUUCCAUUAUGAAGUAAACAUUACCCAGCAGAACUGUCAGUAGUGAAAUAAGGAAUACCUAACAGGAACCAAGAUGUCCUGGGCAUUUUUGGUGGGAGAAGUGAAGAGCACACAGGCUACACUACCCAGGUAUGUCCUAUAUUCAGAGCUGACUUCUGUUUCAUGGGAUUAGGAGCAAUUUAACAGUGUGUGCCAUCUGAAAGAGUGAAGGUGCUGGUAAGACUCCUAUCGCUCUACAGAGAAAUAAAGAAGAGACAACACAUGUGAUCAAAUGCAUAAAUCAAGUUAUCUUUGAAGAUUUUUACAGCUAGAAAAGCUAAAGAAGAAGAAAAUAUCAAACACAUCCAUACACAGUAAAUCAGUUGCCGUCAAAAAGAUUUAUUGAAGAAAAAUCAGCAAAGUGAAAACAGACCCAUUUUAAAAGCCUGUGUCAGGAAAGAAUGAAGAUCUAUGUCCUUGAAUUGUUAACCAAAAGCAUAAGAAGAGUGUGAUAUCAGUGCUUAAGACCUGAAAAAGAUGGACAAAAAUUCAAGAAAGAAAUUUUAAAGAAAGAAAAUCACAGUUUUCAUAUGUUCACCCAUAAUAUUCUUUUGGACAAAUGUGCAUGUUUGUAAAAUAUCAUUUUGCCUUAGUCUGCAUCCAACAUGAGCCAGGAAUAUUUCUUACAGGUGGGUGCUAAACAAUUACUGAAUAGCCUUAAUUCUUAUGUAUGUUUUUUAAUAGAAGAGAACCAUCAGUUAAAUACUAAUGAAAAAAAUCUGUUUAGAAUAAACAUUUCAGAUAUUUUAAUACUACAACAAUUUUUUUGAGAUAUGUUAAUUUCAUUCUCUCCAUCGCUUUAACUCAUACUAAAAUAUGCUAUUGAGAAUUAACUAAAAUGACAUACACCAUUAAAUGUAGCAAGAAGUGAGCUUUCUUUAUUGCUCUCUCUUCAUAUCCCUAAAGCUGGGAUUAGAAGGUUUUAUAUUAGGAUAAGUAAUUAUUGGAUAACAAUUAAACUUUGUGAUACUAGGGGAACUGUUGUAUUGCUGAGUUUUCUAAGUUUCCAUAAAUAUAUUCUGCUGUAUGAGCUCUAUUUCUAAGCAUCCACAUUUUCUAAGUCUAAUACUUGCCUUAAAAGCCCACAUUCUCUAAUUUAUUGAGAUUUUUGCUUGUUCAACAAACUUCUCAGAUGUUUAAGCUAGCUGUCUAGGCUAUUGUACAAUUCUACUUGACAUCUCCUUUGUUGCUUUAAAUCAGGAACUCAUCUGGUUCUUCUUUCAGUAGUUUAAAGACACCUGUUUCAGUUGUACAAUUGUCUUCUGUUUGGUUUGGGACAUCUAAAUCGGGAGUAGUUCCUGAAAAUGCCUCAGUGUCCUUACUUACAGAUUCCAUUCUAUUAUUUUCAGACAAAUCUUCUUUUGUCAUAGUAGAUGAAUCUUCCUUGAUGUUCGUCGCUACAGAUGCAGGGACAAUGAAGUCAUAUCUGGAUUCAACAGCACUUAGCAAAACAGGAUAUUUCUCUGCUUCAUUUGCAAUCUCUCUUUCUGUCCAAACAUUGAUUUCCUCCGUAGACUCUUCAUCAGUUAGCGGAAUAUCUUCUGGGUUGUCUUUGUCUCUUUCAACAGUGGUAGUGAGUUCAAACACAGUGAUGAACUUUUCCUCAUCAGAGUCAGUUAGUUUAGGCACAACAUUAGGGUCAUCCUCUGGAAGAAUUAAGUCAAUUUCAGUUAUUUUCUCUUCUGUAACGGUGGUUAUGUCUGGAAUAGUGGUGACGUUUUUUUCAGUAGCUGGAGAGAUUUCAGCCUCAGGAAUAGAGGAGUCAGUGAUCUGGACAGCCUCAUCAGCAGCGACAUUGGAUUUAACUGAGGAGCUAUCAUUGUUAGCUGGAAGGGCAGGGGUGUCAGCAGUGUUGGUGGUGCUGUCUUUUAGUGUGCCAGAGACUUCAGAAGUUGUUGAGACGUCUUCAUCCCCUGAGCCAAUAGUAUCCAAGAAAACAUCUUCUUUUGCCCUGUUAGUGGAAAAAUCUAUUAAAGACACAGUAGCAACAGGUGAUGAGAUAUUACCAAUUUUCAUUGAAAUGAAAUCUUCAGUAAUACAGUCACUAGCCAUGGAGUUUGUAGUGCCUGUCAGAGUGGUAAUGUCUUUCUCCAGAUGAGUUGAUGAUUUAAGAAUAUGGGAUUCAGCAUCAUCUUCUGAUUUUAGUCUUUCCUUUAGAGAUGUAAGCUUGUUGUAUGUAGUUGUUGAAAAAUCACUUUCUUGCAUAUGGUCAUUUACUGAAGUAAUGUGGUCUCCUUCUGAAGUAAUAGUUGUUUCUGAUCUAGGAAUAGUGUUUUCAGCCCCAAAGAAAAUGGUUGCUUCCGUUGUUGUUUUACUGCUUUCUGUUGGAGGAUGAGAAUAAAUUUUUGGCACACCAUCUUCAGCCAUGGGACGAAGUGGCACUAUGCACACUCAGAGGUCUUUCCCUGGGCCCAGUGAUAUCCCUAGGCAGGAGAGUAGUAUUCAUUAUAGUGAUGGAAGCACUGGUCAUCAAGGUGAUUGUUACAUCAACCACAGGGCCAAUGGCAUUGGCUCUCUGUGGAGGUUGUUUCUGUGCUCUGAUUGGGCACCUGGUUGCAAGAGUAUUGAUAUUAGAUAAAAAGACAACAGAGUCCUCUCUGGUUAUGUAAUCAAAAUUCACAGCUGAAUAUCAAUUGCAAAGAACUUGGGAUUUAACAUAUUUCUGAAUAUAAAGGAUGUGCCUUCCAAUAUGGGGCUUGUGUCACUUGAAACAGACAUAACAGAGUCUGCCAGUGUCAAUGGAGGAAACUCCAAGAGCCACAAGAUUAUCAGCAUCAUCUCCAAGUUGCCUGUCCUUCAAGUUAAGUAGCAAUAUCUUUUUUGAGGUGUUUGAGGUGAAGCAUCUUCUCUUGAGAUUCAUGGUAUUUAAAUGUCUAAAAAACUUCAUGGCCCUUUCAGCAGUGAAUGUGGCUGUAGAAAGUGCUCAGGGAGCAGGGAUUGUAGUUAGUUCUCUUCUUCAGGGAGGAAAUUCUCCCUUUUUCAGUAUGGAUAAUAAAAAAUAUGUUACUGACCUGUUAGAGUCUUUGUAGUUUUCUUCUUCCCUGUAAUUCUUACUUUUUCUUGAAUUAACUUGAAUAACAGUGAGAGUGUCAGGUUUUGUAGGUUUAAUUUCUUUAGAAAUGUUUUCCUGUAGAGAGUGCUAUUUCAACCUGAAAAGAAUUUUCUGGCAGGAAGUUGGUGGUAAAUGUCAGAAUUCACCCAGAAACAAGAUCAGGCUGUGGAAUAACUGUAUUAGCCCUAAGAAUUAUAUCCUCAAUUUCAGAGGGAAUAUUUUGUCUAAUGAUGUUAGUUACAUCAGUCAUUAUUAUUUUGUUAUCAUCUUAAGAUUUAGCUAAUUAGAUACAAGAAGAUUGUAGUCUGGUACUACUCUUUUCCCAGGGUCAUUAGAAGAAAGAGAACUUUCAGACUCAGACAAAACUAAAUCUGAAAAAGGGCAGCAGUUUCGCCUAGAGUAGUGGUUUCCAUCUCAAGGGCAAAUGCUUAUUCUUCAUUAGAUAUGGACUCAACCUCAAAGUUUACAGUGUCUUUUCUUAGUUGAUUCACCUGGUACAGAUAUAUCACCACUCUCUGUAGAAAUAUCAGACAGGUUUUAAGAUGAACAUUUUUCAUUUUAAAGAUAUGGGCAGCUUCUCCAGAAAUGAUUUUGCUUCAAGGGGCUGUCACUAUCAUGGGCUCCCAUGUCUCACUGCUCCAGGGAAUGCUGUCAGCAUCAGAGACAGGGAAGGAAGUCUCAAGUUAACGAUAGGCACAGUUUCUUUAUUUCUAAAUAAAAGUACUCUCGGUUCCAGUGGCAGUAAAGGAAAUCACAGGGUAAAGCCAUUCUCUGGGCUGGCUAACUUAAUGGGCAGUUUUUAACCUCUACAUUUUUCCUCAUAAUCUAGUGUUUGUGAAGCUUAAUUCAGGACAAGGCAUGCUAUAAACCAAAGACUUGGUGUCCUUUUGGGGGAAUUUUUUUGUGUACAAAAAGGGGAAAAAAAGAUGGAAGUAUUAGCUAUGUAACUGCUGGAAGUUAUCUUGGUAUCUGUUAUGGUGAAUAGAGUUAGAAUAUGGAGGAAAAUUUUCAUUUUUAUGAGUAUUUUUUUUUUUAAAGAUUGGCACCUAACAUAACAUCUGUUGCCGAUCUUCUUUUUUUUUUUUCUUCUCCCUAAAGCCCCCAAAUACAUAGUUGUGUAUUCUAGUUGUAGGUCCUUCUGGUUGUGCUAUGUGGGAUUCCACCUCAGCAUGGCUUGAUCGGUGCCAUGUCUGUGCCCAGGAUCCAAACCGCUGAAACCCUGGGCCGCUGAAGCAGAGUGCAGGAACUUAACCUCUCGACCAUGGGACCAAUCCCCAUUUUUAUGAGUAUUUAAUCUGCACUUAGAAAUGUCAGGUGAAAUGAUGAUAUCAUCUUCAUAGAUACUAAUUUGUCAAAUAGUCUUUAAUUUCAGGGUUUACUUUUGUGGUCUCACCAACUUUGCUUCUACUAAUAUAGCUAUGAAGUGGAUUCACAUUGAUUAUAGCAUAAUAAAGCUUUUUUCUCCUAUGGAGAAUAUUAUUACCAUUAUUGUGUUUUUUAAACCAUUGGGCUCAAAAAGGACACUUCAGAUGGAGAGUGUGUGUCAUCCAUCAAAGAGCAGGAAGCACACGGUGAAAAUCCUGAUGGGACUUCUGGAACUUUAGCAAUCUUGAGGGUGGAACUGGAGUCAUCUGCUCUAGGGAAUAUAGUAUAUUCUUAUCUGACCAAUAAUUACCAUUAAAAAUAUUAUCUGUCUUAAUCUCUGUAUGACUCCACUCAUAUGUGGAUGUUAAACAUGUAGACAAAGAGGACAGGUUAGUGGUUACCAGGGGAAAGGGGAGGUGGGGUGGGCAAAGGGUGAAGUGGUGCACCUACAACACGACUGACAAAUAAUAAUGUACAACUGAAAUUUCACAAGGUUUUAAACCAUCAUAAUCUCAAUAAAAAGUUAAAAAAAUAUUAUCUGUCUUAAGGACAGAAGAUCAGAUUCUAUAGAUAAGUUUCAUUUUAUCAGAAUUGUAGUUUCUUCCGUUGUGGUAUCUAUCAAUCUAAUGAGAACAUUUUGUCUUUUCUCAGGAAAGUAUCAAAUUUAUAUCCAUUGACAUGUCUCUUAGAGUAUAUAUCUUCCUUAUUUUGGUAGCUGUAGCAGGAGUUUUCUUGGGUUACAUUUCAUACUUGCUCUAAAUUUUGAGGUGUUUGACUCAGUGAUUAUGCCUUCAAGUAGCAAUUUCUUCAGCUUCAUGAUGAACAGCUGUUUUUUUUAAAUGAAAAAGUGGAAACUGCCACCAAAAAGGGGAGAUUUCUCAGUAAGGCCCCAGGAAGGUCAUUUGGCACAUUUAUGAUUUUCAGGGAUACUUGACUAAGAAGAGUCCUCAGAAUCAGACUUUGAAAGUGCCGAUGUCGUAGUGAUGUCCACCAUUGAGACUUUCUUUGUAUGGUGCAUAUCUUAAGAUUUAUCAGAAGAAAUGUCAAGUGCAAUUUAGAAAGAAUCAACUGAGACGAGUGGUAUCUCCUAUAGAAACUAGAAUUCCUAUUUUAGAGAGAGUCUAUGUGUCUUCAGAUUUUAUAAAUUUAUUGGAGAAAAUAGAAUUUAAACCUUAAUUGAGUUGAUUAUAAUUAUUACUAGAAUGUAGUUGGUGAGGAAGUUUUCAGGUGCAAUAUCUCCAUUCACAAAAGAGUUCCCACCUUUAUAAACAGUGAAGGAAGUGAGAGGAGAAAUUACAUUUUGAUAUUUGGUUAUAACGACAUCCACAUUUUUGUCCUCUUUUCCUCCAGUGAUUAGAACGUUGGGUGCAUGAGUAAGGAAGUUGUAAUUGAAAGAUGUGUUGGCCUCUGGGGUCACUAUUGUUUUGUCUUCAAGAAAGAUGGCAUUUACAUCUGCUUUGUUGUUUGUGACUGAGGAGUAUCAGCCCUAAAAAAGUGUUUACUUCAACAACCUUUUUAGCUUGUGGUAUAAUAGAAAUUUCUUGAAACAUAGGUAUUAUUUUUGCUAUUCCAGCAAUGGAUUCAUGUGUACCGUUUGUACUUUCUGAAGUUUAAAAUUCAGUAUUUGUUGUUUUGAGAUUGGCUACAUUAAAUUCCAACAGAGAAUUUCCUUCUAACUCAGAAGUUAUCUCCGUGUAAAAAUGAAGAUUUUUCAUCAGUAGGAAUAAUGGUAUUUACUUCCGUGAGCAAGUUUGAGUUCUCAGCCAUGAAGUGGGUUUCUGAGGAACAGAUCCUUCUGGGAGGAAAUCCUUGGGUAUAUGAAAGCUUGAAUAAGCUGCUACAAGGACACUGUAAUAAUCCUUACUGACUGACUUAUUACCAGGAUUGACAUUUUUAUUCACAAGAUAAGGCUUUUCAGCAUCUUUUAGAGAAUUUGUUUCCACCUGGAUAACUGGAUCGUUUCCUAUUUCAUUAUUUACAUCUGUAAGGUGAUUCACUUCAAAUUCAGUAGCUAUGUCUUUCAUGGUAGAAGCAUUAAUUAUUUUCCUUGUAGAAGCUUGGUUUACUAUAUUCAUUAGGAAAAAGAAUAGAAAACGUUGUUGUUGUUUUCUUGGGUUCUGAAUUUUGAUCACCAGAGGCAUCAUUAUCAAAAAUUUUGUUCUUGGUGACAACAGUAGAAGAUGUGUUAGGCUUGACUUUGGCCAUAUUGUCUGAAGAACCAGUGGAAUCAGCUUGGAGAACAGUAUAAACCAAGGGGAAAGCCUUUAGGACUCUUUGGCUUUUAGUAUUUUGUCUUUCUGAGACAAUGCCUUCAUUGAAGUAAGGUGAGUCUACAGACACAGGCUCUGAUGCAGCUGAUAUUAACACUGUUGGGUAAGAUAGGUUUGGACCUUUUACAAGUCUGGGGCCUGCAGUUUCUUUAGAAGGAAGAUUAGAAGUUAGGAUGAGAGUUUCAGGUAGUCCCAUAGAUGUAAGUCUUAGAGACAUGACACUUUUUGAUGAUGGAAAGUUAUAAUGGCCAAUGUUAUUUUUGUUCUUAGUGGCAAUAGCAGGAGCAUAUGGCAUAAUGGCAGAAAUCUUUUUCAAAGGAUUAAAGGAUGUAAGAGCUGUGUUGAUUGCACCUUCUGUGUUUUCAUUAACAUUGGACAUGUCCUCACUGGAAAGGUGAGCUAAAGAAAAGCUGCUGAACCUUGGAUCAGAUACUGCAGCUCUACCUGUUUGAUCUUCGGUAAAAUCAGAAAUACUGGAUGUGGUAGUAUCUGCUCUUCUGGGUGUAGAUGUCUUAUAAAAGGCAGGUGAUAUGUUUUUCCUGAGGAAAUUGUCACUAUUUUUUAAAGCAUGAUUAGUAGUAUCAGUUGUGAAUAUCCUGCUGUCAACUACGGGUUUUGUGUCUGGAAAAAGGAAAUGCUCAAUUAUUUUAUUUUCUGAGUCAAAGCCUUCUGAGAGAACUAUGGUGUCACCAUCAUCACUGAUGGUGUUUUUUCCCACAGAUGUGUUGUCAGAAAAAUUAGAAGGAAAAUUCUUACUUGCAUCAAUUAGGAAGUGAGUUGUGGGUCUAUGAGCUUUGGUAUUGACAUUGACAUUGGAAUCUUUGAGAGCGAUGGAAUUGGUGUCUAAGUUCUUGUUUUCCUGUCUAGGAAUCAUAGCUUGGUAAUUCUCUUUAGUGUUGAACUCUGGGGGUGUUGUUUUAGAUAGACUGUCUGAAGCAGCAACUGUGGUAUAUGCUGCAUGAGACACAUGUGUCUUGGGGGCAUAUAUGAAUGUACUCCAUUUUGCAGGGGGAUUAUUUGAUCUAUCCUCUAUAUCAAAGGCAUGCUUAUCUGAGACAUAUUCAGAACCACUGUCAUCAGACUUAAUAAUUAUAUAGUCUACAUAUGCUGGAGUGAUUUUGCCUGCAGAAGAAAUGUCAUCCACCCUUUCUGCAACGUCUUCUGUAAAAUAAAUAGAUUCAUAUUUAGGAGUCGUCUCUCUAAGAUCUUUGUGGUCAAAUAUGUUCCUUUUAAAAGUACUUGCCAUGUCUUUUUCAGAGGUAAUUAUAAUAGGUAAAAUAACUUCAUCAGAUGGAAUAAUUAGUUCCUCAGGUAGAAUGUUAUAAUCAAUCUUUUUGGUGGUAUCUUUUCCCAUAGUAGUAACAGGAACAAGUUCAGAAUAUUCGGAAGUUCCCAUGGAUGUUGUGAAUUCAGGAGGAGGAAAAGUUGACCUCGGUUGUAGGCCAUAUAAUUCAGUCAGGGUGUUUGUGAUAGACCUUCUGUGUUAGUGACUUUAUUGUGAGAGGCAGGCCUAGAUGCUUCUGGAAGAGUUAAUGUGGAAUCGGCUAAAAAGAUUCCUUUUAAAUUGGGCGGUGUUUGCGGUUUGAAGGAAGCCCGAUCAAAUUUAGCAGUGAAAGAAUCACCCGUAUUGUUGUCACUCUUGGAGAGAAGAUUGGGCUCAGUUGCUGAUGGCAGGAUUUUCCCUGUAGCUGGGAUGAAAACUGUUGUAUUUGUAAAAUGACUUAAUUCCAAUUUAGCAGCUGGAUCUUCUUGAUUGAAAAUAUUAAUCAUUUUCCUUCUCUUGUAGUCACUAUUUUGAGAAUCUUCUCUAGGAGAAAAGGCUUUCAUCAUUACUCUUUGAGAUUUGGAAUAUAUUUUGUCAGUCUUAGUUUUAUAAUUAUCAGGAGUAUCUCUAUUCAGACAGAGAAAUGAAUUAACUUCACUAUCUGUGAUACUAUCUGAAAAAGUAGUUGAUCCAGUUGGAGGAACAUUCCAGGCCAAAGGAUAGGAAUGGAUGUCAGCUUGAGUUGUUAUGACCUGCCUCUCCGGAAUAUCACCUCUGUUAAUGACAUCAGCAUAUUCAGUUGCUGUCUCUAACUCUUCUGAUCUAGUUAUUAAAGAUUCAGACAAAGAGUUAUCUGUCAUUAGGCCAGAGGUUUCAGGAUUUUCAGGUAAGGAAUUAGGAAUAAAUGUGGCAGAUGUUAAUAGAGAUGAGAAUCCUCUAGAUUUAACAUUGUCUUCUUCAGGUAACAUAGAAUCAUUUUCUUCAUAACUACCUUCAGUGGAAAGAACAAUGGAAUCAGCUACAGUGCUGGCUGCCUUAUUCAGAGAUGAAGAAAAGAUGGAAGCUCUGUUGUUUGUUUUGUCAGUAUUUUUACUGAUGAAAGAAAGAUCAUUAUCAGGAAUGACACUGAACUCAGCCAAAGGAAUAAUGUCCUGUGAAUGGGGCGUAUCUGCUAAGUUUGGUUUAUGUUCAUUUGCAUCAAAUCUGGAUAAUAUGAUGGUUUUUGCUUCAUCUGGGGCAGCAUUAGUAUAAAAGCAGAUGAGACACCUCUCCUGCUGAAUUCGUCUUUGUAUUCUAGAGGAUUGGUGAUUCCAGCAGGAUCAGUGGAAUGAGUCAUGAAUACCCUGCUCUCUUCCAUUCUUGUCAUUAAUUCUGGGUCUAGAACAAGUGGGUACUCUAUUCUUUUGUGUUUAGGGAGAAUGAUGAUGAUGUUAUCUCCAAUUAGAGAACUAUUUUUCACAAUUGUUUCAUCUAGAAACUCAGGUAAAAAAAUCCAACCUGAAUUAGUAAGAGAAUAAAUCAUGGAUCUGGGAGCGUUGGUGUUAAAAUUGACAGGGGUUGAGGGAAGCGUUUUCUCCAAAGUUGGAAUGAGGACUGUUGCAUUUGUAAUGUGACUUAAAUCAAAUUUUGCAGCUGUGUCUUCCUCAGCAGAGAGUUUAGCCGUUUUCCUUAUUUCAGAAGAGAAAGGGCUUAUUCGUCUAGGUGAAAGGACUUCCAUCGUUGUACCCAGAGGUUGAACACCUUUCUUAGCUUUAGAAAUGUUAACGGUUUCUCUCUUCACAGUGGAUGAUGAAUCAGCCUUAUUAUCUGUAGAAUUCCUGGUAAAAGUUAUUGAAUUAAUAGAAGGAAUACUUGAGUCCAAGGAGUGGGGCUGAAGGUCUGUUUGAAUUUUAAUGUCCUGAUUUUCAGAAAUAUCAUUUCCAUGAAUGAAACCAAGGCAUUCACUCACUGUCUCUGAUAUCUCUGAUACUGACUUUGAGGAGUCAGUCAAGGAGUUAUUACUCAUUGGGACAGAAUCCUCAGUUAAGACUUCAGGCAUGAGAAUGAUACUUUCAGUUGUUGGUAGAAAUGGGAAUUCUCUAGGCCUGACAUUGUUUUCAUCAGGUUGCAUGGAAUCACCCCCUUCAUAACUGUUCUCAAGGGAAGGAGCAGUAGUGUCAGCCAUAGGGUGAAUUGUCUUCAUAGAUGAAGAAGAAGUUGAUGCCCUGCUUUUAGUAUUCUCAAAAUCUUCAUCAAAAAAGGAAAGUUCAUUAUCAAGGUUGACUUUGAAUGUAGCUGAAGGAACAGUGGCAUCCUGUGAAUGGUAACUCUCUGCCUUGAAAAUUUUGUCUUGAUUAUAUUCUGACAUAGGUGACAUAGUGGGUUUCCUCUGGUCAUAAAGACAAGUGAACGUGACCUUUCUCCUGUAGAGUGGGCCUUUACUUGUUAUUGGAGUGGUGCUCAGGGUGAGUUCUGUGAUUUCAUCUGGGAAUGUCCUGCUUUCUCCCACAGUUUCCGUUGAUUCUGGGUCUGGAGCAUUGAUAUGGUCAAUCCCUUUGCCUUCUGGAAGAAUGAUGAUAUCAUUUCCACUUAGGGUGCCUCUUCUCAGAGUUUAAUCAUCUGGAAACUUGGGGGAAAAUUUUCUGUUUCCAUCUGUUAGGGAGUGAGUCAUGGUGCUAGGUGACUUACUUCUGAACUUGGCAGUAUAAUCUUUGAGGAAGGGGCCAUCUUUGUCGGAAUCAGGGUUUCGUUUUCUGGGGAUCAGCAUUUGGUAUUUUUGUUUAGUUUUGAGAUCUAUAGGAUUUUCAUUCAAGAGACUUUUGGUGACAUGUGCAGUGGGGAAGGAAGCAUGAGACCCAAAUCUAUGGAGCCCUUGAAUGAAGGUAGCUGUUUUUGUUGUGGGGCUUUUUCCUUUUUGUCCAACAUAAAAGGUAUUUUCCUCUGACACAUAUUUAAUAGUACUGUCAUCAAGUGCAAUGGUCAUUAGAUGCAUAUUAUUUGGAUUGUUUUCCCCUGCCAGGAAAACCACAUCUGACUCUGCUAAAAAGUCCUUUGUAAAAGGAAUUACUUCAUAUUGAGUUUCAUGAUAUUUUUCUGCAGAAUCUACAUGUAUUUUUCCAUUUAUAAUGUUCCUUGUGUUGUCAAUAGAGAUAAUACUGUCAGGUGAAAUGAUUUCUUUGUCAGGUAGGACAAUUAUAUCAUCAGAUGUAAUAGACUCAUCAAUCAUUUUUAUGUCACUCUCUUCUAUACUGAGUGCUGGAUCAAAUUCAGAAUUAUGGGUUUUAAUAAAGUCAGCAACAAAAUCAGUAGGAGAAAGAGGGGGUAGAUGAUAUAAUGUAUUAUAAGAGUUUGUAGUAGACCUCUCUGAGUUUUCAUUAUCAAGAGAAAAUGAGCCCUUAGCCCUGGGCUUUGUCAGCUUUGUUGUGCUCGUUGUGGAAUCAGGGUAAAAUGUUUCUUUUAAAGUUUCAUGUGCUUUCUGUUCAUCAGGCAAAACAUCAGGCUUAAGAAUGAAAGGAUCAAUGUUCACUGAAUUUACCUCUCUUAAGUUCACUGGAAUUUCCGCUUCAGAAAUGUAGGAUUCAUCCUCUACAAUAGCCUUAUCUUUACUGAGGAAUGCAUUAGCCUCAGUUCCUGAGGUAGUGAUUUCUUUUGCAGGUGGGUUGAUAACUGUUUUACUUACAUGAUGACUUGCAGCAUAGUCAGAAGUUUUAUCUUUCUGCCCUUUUUUGUGGAUUACAGGUUGAAUGGCUAUAUUAGGUGCCAAGACCAUGGCAUCAGUUUUAUCAUUAAUGCCCCCAUUUUCAGUGGUAGGUAUGUCAGUGGCAACAUUUAUGGGAUUCUCUGAAAAAGUACAAUCUUCCAGAGGAACAGAAGAGACCAUGGAGAAAGGCUGAGGGUCAUUUUGGACCUUGGUGACUUCCCAGUUUUGGUCAAUGAUAGUAGAGUGUUCACCCAAUGGCUCUGAUACCUCUAAGAUCACUGAUUUCUCAGGUCAAGAAUCAUCGUUCUCACUAAGAGCACAUGCAGUUCUAAGUCUCUUCUGACUGGAAAUUAAUAGAGAUUUAAAUUUUUUGGACAGGACACCAUCUACCUCAGGCACGAUCGAGUCACCAUUUUCAUUGCUCUUCUUAGAGUCAAAAGCAAAGACAUUAGGUAAAACGGUGAUGGCAUUUGUUGGCAUUUUGGUGACAUUAACAGGAUUAGGCGAAGUUACUGAGGCUAUUUUGAUUAUACCCUUAGUAACUUCACCAACAUAGGAUAUAUUCUCAGCUUGGGAGGCAAUGUCCUGAGCCAAAGUGUUAAUGUGAUCCUCUGUAGGCAUCACUUCAGCUGAAUGCAUUUUGUUUUCACUGACUUUUGAUUUUUCUGAUGUAAUGGUGUCUGCCAACUUCAGGGCAGCUGUGUUAUGAACGUUGGAUGAAAUACCUCUCUGGUAGAAAUGACCUUGUGUUUUUAUGGGAGUGGUGAUCACAGCAUGAUCAGUGGGGACAGUGCCAAAUUUUCUGCUCUUUUCCACAGUAACAAUUGUUUCUGUAUGUGGUACAGCGAAAUUCUUGAUUUUUUUAUUUCCCAAAUCAGAAAUUUCAGGGAGAAGGAUAAUGGCGUCAUCUUUACUUUGAGCCUCCUUUCCUGCAGAUGAUCUUUCUGGAAACUCAGGGGAAAAAGUCUCACCUCUAUCAUUUAGGGAGUGCCCCAUGGUUUUCAGAUGCUGAGAGUUGAAAUUUUUGGUGUAAUCUUUGAAAGAAGUGGUGACAAUAUCAGAGUCAGAAUUUUCUUUGAGAAUAAUAGUUUCAAACUCAGGGUGAGUCAUCCUAUACAGAAGACUCUUGGAGACCUCAUUUUUAAAGGAGGGUGUAUGAGAUACAAACCCAUUGGGUCCAUGUGUAAGUUGAAUAGGUUUUUUAUAGGGCUAUUUUCUUUCUUCUUUAAUUCAAAGCCAGGCUUAUUUGAAAUAUACUCAGAAUCACUUUGAUCAGGUUCAGAGAUGAUCAAGUCCAUAGCAUCUAGAUUAUUUUCCUUUGCCAGAGUAGUCCCAGGCCUAAGACUAAAGGAAUCAUCUCUCAAUGUAUUUGUAUAUUCCAGUGAUAGAGGAGUACCUAUUCCAGACACAGGAUAAUAAUUUUCCACAUUUAUUUCUUCAGAGGAGACAGGAAGGGAGUAGGUCACAGGUAUAACACCUGUAGGAGAAUUUGUUAUGCUACCUGUAGCAGUUUGGUCUUUGUCUGCCCAUGGAUCAGUUUGCUCAUCAGUAUAGGUUGCAUAGUUUUUGCUGAAAGUUCCUUUAUCUAACAACGCAGUCCUUUCCAGAGCAAAGUUUAUAUUAUCUUUCAUUGGAAUCCUAAAAUCUGGUGUUGUCAAGGUAGAUCUUCUUUCAGGCAAAAAGAUAUAUCCUUUUGGGACAUUUUCUUUCAUCAUCAGAGGAAGAAUAUCACCACCAAAGAAUGCAUUAUGUUCAGCACCACUAUUACUUUGUUGUAUCAUCAUCAUUUUUCCUUGAAACUCAGGAGUAAAUUUUCCAAGUGGAGGUUUUGAGACUUCAGCCAUAUAGGAUGAUGUAGGAUUCUCAAAUUCAAGUUGUUCAAUUGUGAUUUUGGGUGUUCCUUUGAUUCUGUUGGAGUUAUAUGCAUCAGAGUUAAGAAAAUAAUGUUUAGCUGCCAAACUGUUUCCCUUAGGAACAUUAUCACCUGCAAUAGGUAUGCCAUAAAUAUGAUCCCUCCUAUUGUCUUCAAGUACAUCUUCUUCCUCUGCCGUAAUGCCAGUGUCUUUUGGGGUGUCUGCUUCAUAGUUCAAUGUUAUAGCUUCCCUGAAAGUGUUUUCAGAUUCGUGUCUUGGGAUAUAAAACAUGGUAUCACCUUCUCCUUGAGGAUCAGUGGUGUCAGCUACUGGCAAGCUGCUGGGAUAGACUUAUAAUGAAAAGUUUUUAGUAUUAUAAUAUCUGCCAAAGAGGUCUUUUUUACAGGGUUUGUUGCUUGGGGAUGAUUGAAAGAGGCAAGAGACUUCAUAAAGGUAGAGUAAUCAGCUACUAAUUGAGUGCCAUCAUCUCUAGACACAUUGGGAUCAUCUCUGGAAAUGGCAAAGUCAUCUCCUAGUUUAUUAGGUUUACUGUUAAGAGUAUUAACUUCAUUCAUGGUCAGAAUGCCUUUCUUUCUGGGCGAGAUGGCAGCUAUGGAAGCCAAGUCUGUUACAACUUCAGUGUUUUUAUGUUCAUAGGAAAUAUCAUCAGCCACAGUAGUAAUGCCAAGAGAGACAUGUGUCAUUUCAGUCUCAGCCCUUUCUCCUUUAUUGGCCAGUCUCUUAGCACUGUUUGAAGCGAUGGCAGCAGGGGUUUGAUAGCCACUUCUGUGGUCAGUAAGAUCUGCAUCCUCCAUUGUGGAGAGUGAUAGUCUAUGUUUCCUGAUGUUCUGAGGUACAUUUGGGUUCUUUUUGGUGAUAGUAAGUAGAUUAUCAGUGAUUACAUUGUAGUAUAAAUUAGGGUUUAUAUGGUCAUCCAUUCUUCCAGUUUGGAAGAAAGAAUUGCUAAGUGGAAGGAGUUCAGUGCUGUCUGCUGCUUCCACGUUCUGUUUCACAGCUUCACUUUCAUGCAAACCAUCAACUAUUGUUUUGGUGGCCAUUGUCUUAAAAUGUGUUUUGUCAUUUGCAGAUUUAGUGACAUCAUAUAGAACAUCAACAUUUUCUUCCCCAGGAAUGGUAAGGCCUCUGUCAGUUAUUGUUACUUCAGCAGAAGGUAUACUACUACUUAAUUGGGAGAGAGACUUUGUGUUAUCAAUAGCCACAAGUGCAUUCCUUUCAAAGCCACUGUCUCUUGAUUCAAAGUACUUGAUAUUAUGUGCGGGUGGAAGGUUUUCUUUUAUCUUAAAAACAUCACCUUCUUCCACUAGCCGAAGAGCUGAUUCUUCUUCAUUAGCCAUUCCUUUGUCUAUCAAAUUUCCAAAUCUUUUUCUUGGUGUAAGAAUACUAAUUGUCUUUGCAGGCAGGAAGAUAAUAGCUACAGUAGGCCUUCCUUCUGGCAUGGUGGCCUUGUUAAUCAUCUGUUCAGAGCUGUCAGUCAUAUUUUUGGUCCCCUUACUUGCACUGGGAGUGGUAUUGUAUUCAUCAUUGGGAGAGGUGACAUCAGCUGUAAGGAAAGUAGAUGCCAAUGGAAUGUUCAAAGGAUCUGCUGAUACUUUAUUGAUUUUCCAUUUUUGUGUAAUGGCAUCAUUAACAAGACGAGGAUUUUCAGCCACAGGAUCUGAUACCCAAGCACCAGUCAAGGAAUUGCCUUUAAUUAGCAGGGAGUUUUGAGCUUGAUUAUUUUGGGCAUUGGGCUUAGGGUAGAUGAUUUAGCUACUGAGAGGAGAAUAUAUUCUUUGUUCAUAGGAAAAUCUGUUUCAGAGUUGAGACCUGCACCACCAUCAGCAUGGUUGUCAUUAGUAGAGAGACUAAUGACUUCAUCCACAGAGUCAGUAGAUUUUUCUGAAGGGGUGAUACUGACCUUUGAAGCUGAGGUCUUGUCAGCUACACUGUCUUCCCUGAAAUGGACAGAUCCAACAGUUACCGGGUGGCCAAUGGAAACCACAGGGGUGAUAUUGCUCUGGAAAGUGGCUGUUUUAAACACAGUAGCUCUUUCAACAUCCAUUCUGGCUUUGGCAUCAUUUGCAGUAAUUGUGGUGGGGGUUCUCUGGUCACCUCUGUUGUUAAUGAGGUUUGUGCUGUCCAUUGUGAAGGGUUUUAUUUUAUAUUUGAAUAGGGGGUUGAAUAUAACAGGGGUGUAAGAAGAGAGGAUGAUUUUGUUUCCUGCUGUUUGGGCAUAAUCUGCAUCAGGGCUGAGAGAGUAAGCUUUUCUUUCACUUUCUAUUGUGGAAGUGUCUGGAUGAAUGAAGAUGACUUCCUUUGCAAUUCCAUCAUCUUGGUCUAUAUUUGCGAUUUCUUGGACCACAGGAAUAACAUUCUCAAUUCCAUCAGUGUUCACAGACUUAAAAUUGUUCCUAUCGGUUUUGAGAUGUUCAUUGGCAGGAAUGUUAGAAAGGUACUUAAUUAUUGAAUUGUCUACUUUAGAUCCAAUUGCGUCAGCGAUAUUGUUAUUGUUGGUUGUUGUGAUAUUCUCCAUUUGAAUAAUGUGUCUGCCUUCUGUUAUUGCACCUUCCUUUGAAGGCUGAGUUAUUUUAAAGUUAAUGUUAGAGGUAGUCAUUGGCUCUAUGGGGUUAGGGUUAGCAUAAUGCUUUGUAGAAUUGAUGUGAUUUGUUUUGGAAAUAGUUAAAUCCUCCACAUGCAUAGUAUUUUUAGCUAUAUCUAAAUUGUUUUGGUAUCAUUGGAAUUACUAAUAACAUUAUUGCUUUUCUUAUACAUUAUAUAAUUAAGAAAAGAAUUUGUGGUGUUAAUGGGAUUGAUAUUGGAAAUAGUUUCAUCAAUGUUACUGGCAAUCAUGAUAGAUUUGGUAUCAGCCUUGUUGUAAGUACUCAGAUUAGGAAUAGAUCGAAAGUCAUUGCUGUUUUUUGCAGAGGAAAUGUUAGUUUUUUGAGCAUUAACUGUAGUUCUGCCGUGAUUCUUCAUGUCUGUGGCAUUGAUUAUAAUAGAAUUGUCUUUCUGUGGAAGAUCAGGAGCAUUGCUCACAGUUUUGCCAUAUCUUUCCAGAUAAGUAGUAUUAGUUAAAAUUAUGUGUUUGUCCUUCAUGUCAGGAACAUCAAGCAGAGUUGUAUAAUCUUCUAGAAUGUCUGUGGCAUCAGUUUUUGCUGUACUGUCUUCUUUCAUAAGGGUUGUACCGGUAAACGAUAUAUUCUCUGGUCCUGCUUCUUCCUCAUGAGUAGUGGUAUAAGUUUCAAAGAGUUUGCUUGCAUUUGAUUUAGUAAUGGCACUCUCAUCUGCAGAGGCACUGAAUUCAUUCUUAGUGUUUUGGAUGUAUGCAGCAGGAUUUAGGGCAAAGAAUAGUUUAGAUCUUGCAGUGGAUGGGAAGAAGUGUUCAAGAUUCUGAGUUUCUUUGGAGUCUGUCUGAAAGUGGGGAAUAGCAAUGGAAUCAGACUUAUACUGGUUUGUGGUCACGGGUAGAGGUGCUAAUAUGUUAUUUUCCCCAGAAAUAGUCAUCCUGCUCUGUAUUAAUCUGGAGUUGGGUACAAAUCUGGAAAUUGUGGUACUGACAGCAGGAGUAUCUUGAAUAACAGCAGAUGAAGGUGAGGCAUUGCUCUUUGGUGCCUCUGCCUGAGUAGAGUUGUCUCCUGUACCCUGAUCAUAAGCAAAGUUAGCUGAAGUCUGAUUAGUCGAAAGGUUACAUGGUACAUAAUCCCCAAAUGAAAGAAAGUUAUAUAUUCUAGCUUGAAGAGUCUCUGAGUAGUUUCUCUCUGAAAAAGGUCCAGAGAGCCUUGUUACUCUAUCAAGAGACUCAGGGCGGUUAUUUGAAGUGUCUGCAGGUGCAGAAUUUUCUUUUGUUCUUAGGAUGCAUGAGAGCGACUUGCUAUGCAGCUGUCUCAUGAGGACAAAGGUGGAUUGGCAGACUAAUGUUGAUUUGCCCAACUAUGUAUUUCCUGGCUCCCAUUAAACUAAAGGGAAAGAAGUUACAACAUUUUUGUGAGGUUCCCCUUACAGAUUAUAUUUUACUAAAAAGCCUGAAAUCAAUAGUCACAGCAUUAAAUUUAUCAAAUAAAGCAACAUUCUGAAGGUCUCUGCUUUCCUCUUUAUUGAUAGGUUGUUAAGUUAAUCAAGUUAGAAAUGCACAAUAUCGAUGUGAAAAGGAGCAGCUAAUAUGUUAGGGUUAAGUGCCCUCUGUAAGUAUAAACCCAGAGGUCCCAUGGCAAACUUUCAGAAAGGAAUCUUUUACAGUAUAAGAAGUAUAGAGAAGCCCCUUCAAAUUCUAUACUGUCAUGCAUUAUAACUUCUGUUAUCUUUACUUCAUUAUGUAUAUGAUUAAUUUUAAAUGAAAGAAGUUUGUAAAUAGAAAAUAGAAUAAUUAAAACAUGAUGAUGGCUUUUUGGGUUUUUUUUUUUGAGGAAGAUUAGCCCUGAGCUAACAUCCACCACCAAUCCUCCUCUUUUUGCUGAGGAAGAUGGGCCCUGGGCUAAUAUCUGUGUCUAUCUUCCUCUAUUUUAUAUGUGGGCACCUGCCACAGCAUGGCUUGAUAAGCAGUGCAUAGGUCCUCACCAGGGAUCAGAACUGGUGAUCCCUGGGCUGCUGAAGCAGAGCACACAAACCCAACCACUAUGCCAUUGGGCGAUCCUAGAAACACGAUGAUGUUUUGUUUAGCAUUUGUUUGUUUAUGUUAUCCUGCAUUAAACAUAUCCUGGUGAUCUAAAUCCAUUUUUUUCCCUCCAUGUAAUUUUUAGUUCCAUUAUGAUAUGGUUAUCCAAAAUACUGAAACUUACCGGGAAGUGAGAGACAAAAUUCAAGAUGGCCACAGUCAGGAUUAGGAUCUUCAUCUUGUCCUACUUAUUCCCUGCAACUGAGGUUCAGCUCCAGGAUCUGAGUGACGUAAGAGGAGCAAGAUAGGCAAAAUUGACCUAUACGUUACAUAAUCAAAGAAUUAUGAAGAAAUAAUUUUUUUGAGAGAUUCUUGGCUUUGAAUUGUGGGUGGUGAUCCAGGACAGCUGGCGGUGUAAUUCCAAUCCAAGUCUGAAGGCUAAGAACCCAGUAGCUAAUGGUGUGAAUCCUGGUCCAAAGGCAGCAGAAAAUUGAUGUCUCAACUCAAGCAGGCAGGAUGGCAAUCUCUCUAGCGUUUGACAAGGAGUCCUUCCCUCUUUGCUUGGCUUUUGUGAAACCACCUUAUCCUGGAUCUCUUCAUACCUCUCUGAAGUUCUUUUUUAGUUAUCACCAUUCAACUCUGCAUUAUCACCAAGAUCAACCUCAAAAUGAUGGCAUUUUCAAGAACUGAUCAAACAUGAUUCCCCCCAAUAAUUUACAGUUUAAGCAAGUAAAUGUUUGUUGAAUGAAUAAAUGUCAGAGUUCAAACAUGUAUACUUUUACUCUCAAUAUGGUACUUUUUCUGAAAUACUGAAACACCAUAUUUCAGUUAUAGAUUUUUGGAAUUAUUUGGGUUCUUAAUUCAACAAUAUUGAAGUAAAGUUGAAUUUAUUGAUAGUAAAGUAAAAUUUACUUUAAAUUUUAAUAAAUAAAAAAAUCCAUUAUUUUGCCAAAAUCCGUGACUUUAUGUAUAAUGACUUAAUAAUAGUAUACAGAUUUUUUUAAAGAUAAAUCUAGAGUUCAUUUUAUUAAC